ensembl:lncRNA
ACAACGCGAGCCCAGACCCAACACAGUGACGGCUCGGACACCACUUAUGGUCAAGAGGCCAGAGAGCCAGUGGAGAAAUUCUGAAGUUCUGAGCCAGACCUUCCCCUCACCCCAAGAAGGUGGAAGGGAAUCCGUACACACAUAACGUAGCUCGUCUGCAAGCCUUCUGUGCCAAAUAUCGCCUGCCUGGCUCCCCUCUUACCUGUGCACCAGUGAAAGUGACCAAGCACACUCUUACACUCCGCACUGAUGGAUAUGUUUGCUUUAGCCAAUCAGCAAAGGGAUUUUGCUGGCAUGCAUGUUUUAUUCAUUGUUAUCCCCUGUGUAUAUAUAGCAUUAUGUAUUCAACAUUUAUCUUUAUCGCACAGCACAAUUUUCUAUUUUUUUAAUUAUUUAGUUUUUAAGAUUUUCUGUGUUCUGCAUCACAACUGUGCAUGUAUUAAACACCUGUAGGUCCAUAUAUUGUCUUAUAGUAUAUACAUGUGUAAGAUUGGUCCAUAGUCUAUGGGGAGUUGUGUAAAAAACAACUCAUUUUAUUAUUACCAAAGUAUUGUUUAGUGUGUUUUUUUUUACGUCAUUGGCCAAUUCUUUAACAUGUUUUCUAAUAUUCUGAGGCUUUUAU